GCAGAGGGCCAUGUCGCCUGCUGCGUGUUGCUGAAUGGAGGCCCUAAUGUGAAUGGAGACUAGCCUGCUGGUAGAGACCUUGGCAGUGACCGCUGUGGGCAAUGAGCCAUGGGCCAACAAUAUUCAAUGCUGUGUACCUGAUGGAUGGUUACUGUCUGAGACUGAGGCUUUUUGGGCCAGGAGUAAAAGGACUUGGUUUGUACUUGAUUGCGUCCUGUGGAUGCUUGCCUACCAACUGACUCAUCCUGACGUGCCAAAGGUCCUGGCUUUCCCCUGUGUGGGUAAGGGAAGAAGAGAGUUCUUUGUUCCUAGUUCACUUCAACCCCACGAUCCUAAGCACACCUGUACCUGCCCUGGAAUCCCUCAGCCAUGUUUGUCCCACAGAGCAUCACUAUCAAACAGUUCACUGUGGACUCCUCGUAGCAGAAGUACAGUAGGGGACAGCAAGUGUCAGCUCCAUCAGGACCCCUGAUUUAAUUAUUUACUGUGGAACCAUUGUCCUGAGUCAGGAGGAUAGAUGAGGAAAGAAUGAGAGCGUGGCUGGCAUCGCUUCAUGAUUACAUUCUGGGAAAGAUCUUGCCUGUUAACCUCUAGAGAAGGAGGGACGAUACAGACAAUGAAGACUAUAGCAGACUGAAUUACUCUCUGAGAUGAGGACUUUGCUAUUGCCAUUGCAGAACCACUGGUGGAAGUUGUUGUUAAACAGUGGGUCUUGCAUGCAAGCUCUACAGUUAUGCACAGUAUUUCCAUGACAUCCCAAGCCAUGAGGUUCAUGCUGCCAUAUCCCCCUGUUUAACAAGUGUGGAAACUGAUAAUGGACUCACAAUUGCUGAUGUAUAGGUUCUAAUGUUUUCUAUUGUGGACACGGGACACCCAGACUGAGAACCAAUGGCUCCAGUCUGAUUUAAACAUGGGUCCGUGCUCACACACUCAAUACCUACCCUCUGUGCUCACAAGUCCUGUGUGAGUAAGACUCCAAAUUAUUCUGUCUUGUUUUACUCAAUGGUAUGCUCUACCUUAUUAUAGAGUAUACCAUGUAUUGAGACAAGAAUGCCAGUCAUUCUGAGAAACAAAAUGCAACCAUUAGUUGUCAUUUUAAUUAGUGACGAAUAGUUGUGUCAAUCAUCAAACAUGCUUGUAUAAUUGGAUGAGAAGAGGUGUAACACGGGCCAAUGAUGACGAGGUUUCGGGAUUAUAAGUCACGGACGAUGACUACGUCACUAGAGGUCUGAGGUCCAUAGCAGAAGAUGCCUCAUGUGACCCUCUCAUGCAGGGGUUGCAUGUCAGGCAUGUGCAUACAGUAGAUAUUAGCCAUGCACUCUCACCAUUUCAUAGUAGAUCACAGAAUCAAGAUACAAAUCUCCAUGCACGGAAAGGAUUUAAGGCAUUGAUCAAUCCUGAACAUAAAUAUUUGGCCAUCAAUGAUAUUUACGCACACACUGAAAAAUCUAUUCAGAAUGACUUACACAAAGGUUUAUAUAACCUUUAUCAAAGGUAAUUUAUAUAGUAAGAUUCAUGGCUGAAGUCUUCAUGAUGGUCAAGGCCUUAAUUUUUAAAAUUAUCAAUUUUUUUCUUUUCUUUUUUUUUAACUUGAAUUUUUUUUUAAUGAAAACUAUCAUGACAAUUUGUCUCUUAAAUGAAAGGAGAAAUGUAAAA
rnacentral:lncRNA from 1 species